rnacentral:misc_RNA from 1 species
GCGCCGGAGCAUCAUGGCGAGAGUUAACGACAAUUGGGAGAGGCUAGUGCGUGCGACUUUGAAGAGAGAGCAGCUCAGAAAUGCAGGGCAAGGCCAUGGGAGGACUCCCAGUGGGAUUGUUGGAGCUGUACCACCCUCUCUUGGAAAAACCACAAACAUUGACGCUAUUUUGCAGGCUGCCGAUGAAAUCCAAGCGGAGGACUCCACUGUUGCUAGGAUUUUGUGUGAGCAGGCUUACAGAAUGGC